rnacentral:rRNA from 1 species
UACGUAGGGUGCGAGCGUUGUCCGGAAUUACUGGGCGUAAAGAGCUCGUAGGUGGUUUGUCGCGUUGUUCGUGAAAUCUCACGGCUUAACUGUGAGCGUGCGGGCGAUACGGGCAGACUAGAGUACUGCAGGGGAGACUGGAAUUCCUGGUGUAGCGGUGGAAUGCGCAGAUAUCAGGAGGAACACCGGUGGCGAAGGCGGGUCUCUGGGCAGUAACUGACGCUGAGGAGCGAGAGCGUGGGGAGCGAACAGG